AGUCGAACGUGAAAGCACUUCGGUGUGAGUAGAGUGGCGGACGGGUGAGUAACGCGUGGGAAUCUACCCAGUAGUGGGGGACAACUACCGGAAACGGUAGCUAAUACCGCAUACGCCCUAUGGGGGAAAGGCUUCGGCCGCUAUUGGAUGAGCCCGCGUCAGAUUAGCUAGUUGGUAGGGUAAAGGCCUACCAAGGCAACGAUCUGUAGCUGGUCUGAGAGGACGAACAGCCACACUGGGACUGAGACACGGCCCAGACUCCUACGGGAGGCAGCAGUGGGGAAUAUUGGACAAUGGGCGAAAGCCUGAUCCAGCAAUGCCGCGUGUGUGAAGAAGGCCUGCGGGUUGUAAAGCACUUUCAGUUGGGAAGAUGAUGACGUUACCAACAGAAGAAGCACCGGCUAAAUCCGUGCCAGCAGCCGCGGUAAUACGGAUGGUGCGAGCGUUAAUCGGAAUUACUGGGCGUAAAGCGCGCGUAGGCGGCUAAGUCAGUCAGAAGUGAAAGCCCCGGGCUCAACCUGGGAAUUGCUUUUGAUACUGCUUAGCUAGAGUUUGGUAGAGGAUAGUGGAAUUCCAGGUGUAGCGGUGAAAUGCGUAGAUAUCUGGAGGAACAUCAGUGGCGAAGGCGACUGUCUGGACCAAAACUGACGCUGAGGUGCGAAAGCGUGGGUAGCAAACAGGAUUAGAUACCCUGGUAGUCCACGCCGUAAACGAUGUCAACUAGCCGUCGGGUCUAUUUACAGACUUGGUGGCGAAGCUAACGCGAUAAGUUGACCGCCUGGGGAGUACGGCCGCAAGGUUAAAACUCAAAGGAAUUGACGGGGGCCCGCACAAGCGGUGGAGCAUGUGGUUUAAUUCGAUGCAACGCGAAGAA
rnacentral:rRNA from 1 species